GAACUGAGACACUGUCCAAACUCCUACGGGAGGCUGCAGUCGAGAAUAUUCCACAAUGGACGAAAGUCUGAUGGAGCGACGCCGCGUACAGGAUGAAGGCCCUAGGGUCGUAAACUGUUUUUAUUGAGGAACAAUUAUUGAGCGUACUCAAUGAAUAAGGGGUUACUAACUCUGUGCCAGCAGUAGCGGUAAUAUAGAGACCCCGAGCGUUAUCCGGAUUUAUUGGGCGUAAAGCGCAUGUAGGCGGAUAUACUAGUCAGAUGUCAAAUCUUCGAGCCUAACUCGAAAACUGCAUUUGAAACGGUAUAUCUAGAGAGAGUGAGAGACCAAUGGAAUUCAUGGUGUAGUAGUGAAAUGCGUUGAUAUCAUGAGGAACACCCAAUGCGAAGGCAUUUGGUUGGCACUUUUCUGACGCUGAGAUGCGAAAGCGUGGGGAGCGAAGGGGAUUAGAUACCCCCGUAGUCCACGCCGUAAACGUUGCAUACUAGAUGUUAGGAGUAUCGACCCUCCUAGUGUCGUAGCUAACGCGUGAAGUUGGCCGCCUGGGGAGUACGGUCGCAAGAUUAAAACUCAAAGGAAUUGACGG
rnacentral:rRNA from 1 species